rnacentral:rRNA from 1 species
AGCAGCCGCGGUAAUACGUAGGGUGCAAGCGUUAAUCGGAAUUACUGGGCGUAAAGCGUGCGCAGGCGGUGAUGUAAGACAGAUGUGAAAUCCCCGGGCUUAACCUGGGAACUGCAUUUGAAACUGGCAGGCUAGAGUCUUGUAGAGGGGGGUAGAAUUCCAGGUGUAGCGGUGAAAUGCGUAGAGAUCUGGAGGAAUACCGGUGGCGAAGGCGGCCCCCUGGACAAAGACUGACGCUCAGGUGCGAAAGCGUGGGGAGCAAACAGGAUUAGAUACCCUG